GUUAUGCUGAAAAGAAAUUUAGAAAAAUAGUCUUUGGGGAGUCAAAGGUUAUAUGCAGAUUUUUGACUGUUUGGGGCCCAGUGCCCCUAGCCCCCGUGUUGCUCAAGGGUUAAAUGUAUUUAUCUAUGUAUGAAUACAAACGCAUAUGUUCCCCAGCUUUGUCUGUAUAGGGGGACUAGAAGCAGUGACACACCAAAAGCCAUGAGCACAUGUAGCACCAGAUCCCCUGUAAAAGGAACCAGGGCUCAUGGAGAAGUGGUCGAUUACAGAGUUGGGGCACAAUAAGCCUAAACAACGUGUUGUGCCAGAAAGUAAGGAACCACUCCAAAAACAGUAGGGGCAUGUGCAAAGGUCAAAGCCACACUGAGGGGGCUUCCGCUGGCCACAGCCAAUCUGAGCCUCAAAAUAAAUAAUGGCAGUAAGAGAUUAAAAAUCACUGAAAAAUAAAGGCAACCAGGAGAUCACACUGAUGUUUACUUAUUUAGAAAGUACCUCCCCACAAAAUACCUAUUAAUUACCAAGGGAAAAAGAGUGACUUCACAGUGGAGAAGCCAGCAUUCAUCACUGAAUCACAUGGCCAAUGCUGCCACCACCAGUAUGGGACAAGCUGACAUCAUGUGCCUCUAGACAAGACAUACUAAGAACACAAGUUCUGUGGUCUUCCUGCCAGAGACAUAUAACCUAAGUCUAAUCAUGAGAAAUGCCCAAUGACCCACACGGAGGAACAUUCUACAACAUGACUGACCUGUAAUUCUCAAAAAGAUCAAGACUGAGGAGCUAUUCCAGAUCGAAGGAGAAUAAAGAGACAUGGCAGCUGAAGGCCACAGCUCAGCCUGGGUCGAAUCCACGAGGGCAACUCCCCAAACCCUGAUGACGACAGGGCAUCAGUGGGAAAAGAUGCUGGCUCUGGAGCCAACGAGGCAAAGAAGAGGAAAAUACCCACAGAACUUGCAACAAAACUAAAGGCCAUAGACCAGCAUCCAGAUAAACUCUGCUGAAGUCACCCUGCCUGACUGAUGAUCUCACCGAGUAGAAGACUUGAAAUGAACACUCACCGUCCAUCAUCCGUUCCCUCCAUAACCAGAAGCAGGUAAUCUCGUCUUUGCCAUUUGCUGCUAGAAUCCGUAAAAUAAAUCUUCCUCCCAUCCUGA